AUUAUUAUAAUUUUACUGUCCGUAUUGACUCACUCCAUAUACAAACAUUUUAAAUACUUAUGUUUGGAGCUAUUUUAUACAUUGCGUAUUAUUUCACUAAAGUUUACCGUGGAGUAUGUUACAUACUGAAAAAAUAUGUUUUAAAACAAUUCCCAACAGAUACAAAUAUGGUUUUCAAUGAGAAAUGUCCAAUGUGCCACGAUAAUUUACAAAUCAUCAUUAGAUCGGCUUGCGGACAUGGUUAUUGCAUGAAGUGUUUAGAGCGUCUCACUUCCAUUCAACAGGAAGGACGCACUUGCCCCUUUUGCAGGGGUAAAAUAAUACAAUUAAAUAUAGUAGAGAAUAAGAAAUAUAAAAUGUUGAACAAGCGGAAAAAGGCCCAUUUGUUCCGCAGAUUUUUGAAGGUGGCGAAUCCGGAGUCCCAAAGCUCUCCACUGACUAGAUGGAUUCUUGGCGGCAACGUAAAUCACAUUUACAAUUUUUUUAUACGCAACUAGUGGUAAUAAAGACAUUGUUUACACAAAA